UACAGAGGGUGCAAACGUUGCUCGGAAUCACUGGGCGUAAAGGGCGCGUAGGCGGGGAUGUAAGUCGGGCGUGAAAUCCCCAGGCUCAACCUGGGAACUGCACUCGAAACUGCGUUUCUUGAGUAUCGGAGAGGAAAGCGGAAUUCCUGGUGUAGAGGUGAAAUUCGUAGAUAUCAGGAGGAACACCAGUGGCGAAGGCGGCUUUCUGGACGGUAACUGACGCUGAGGCGCGAAAGCUAGGGGAGCAAACGGG
rnacentral:rRNA from 1 species